CUGAGUCACAGGUAGCACUCUAAAUUUUUUUUCUGUACAAUUUUUCUCCUGCAGUUAAUAAUUUAACUCCUAAUUUGCCUUUUUUUUUUUUUUUUUUACCAAGUUAUACAUGCAACUAUCUCUAAUUCAUCUUCAAGCUAGAUCUCCUUUCAACAUCUUCAAAACACAUCAGAUCUGGAAGUCAGAAGCCUGAAACCAGUGUCACAGGGCUGAAAUCAAGUGUUGGCAGGACUGUGCUUCUUCUGGGAGUGUGAGGGGAGACUCCAACUCUUGCCUCUUCCAGCUGGUUGUCAGCGUUUCUUGACAUGUGAGCACAUCUUUCCGGUCUGAAAGGCCAGCAUCUUCAAGUCUCUGUCCUCUGUAUUUUUAUAUCCCCUUCUGCAGUGUGUGUGUGAAACCUUUCUCUGCCUCCCUCUUGUAAUGAUGCAUGUGAUGGCAUUUAGGGCCCAACUCGAUAAUACCAGAUAAGCUUCUCCUUUCAAGUCCCUGAAUUUUGUAACAUCUUUUGCCAUCUAAGGUAACAUUCAGAGAUUUCAGGGAUUUAGAAGCGUGUAUAUCUUUUUACAGGGCCACCGUUCCACUCACCCCAGCCUUUAAUGCAUUCUGAGAACUGUCGAUCCCCAGGAUAGGGUGAGAGUUCCAGAGUAUUUCUCAAACCUCUAU
rnacentral:lncRNA from 1 species